GCCGCCUGGCGGUCGGCACCGGAGGACGCGAGUGGGUGGGGAGCGCCCCUGGAGGGCCUCUAGCGGGCUCGGACCGUGCGAGGCAGGACGUUGGGGAAAGUUGGGGCAGACGCGAACUUGGGGCGUGUGCCCGGGAAAGAGAUGUGGCACCGCGUGGCGGCUGAGGGGCGGCUGAGGGACGGCGGCUGCCCGAGUCACCCCCGGGGAAGCGGCCGUGGGACGCUCCCCAGUCACCCAAACAGAACAAGGGGCCGCGGGCACCGAUUCCGGUACAUUGUUUUACUGAUUCUUGCUGUUAAAGAGUUCCAUCCAGGGGUCGGCGUUAUGUUGCAGCAGGUGAAGCCCCCACCAGCAAUGCCAGCACUAGUUUUAAGUCCCUCCGCUGCUCCACUUCUAAUCCAGCUCCCUGCUUAUGCGCCUGGGAAACCAGCAGAGGGUGGCCCAGGUGCUUAGGCCCCUGCCCCCACGUGGGAGACCCGGAUGGAGUUCCAUGCUCCUGGCCCAGCCCUGGCCAUCACAGCCAUUUGUGGAAUGAACCAGUAGAUGGAAGAUUUCUCUCUCUCUCUCUCUCUUUCCCUCUAACUCUUUCAAAUAAAUAAAUCUUGAGCAACAAAA